AUGCCCGCCAGCAGCUCGGCCGGCAAGACCUUCAUCUGCAACGUAGCCCACCCGGCCAGCAGCACCAAGGCGGACAAGCGUGUGGGCAAGAGGACAGGCCUCAGGGAGGGCGUCCACUCCCAGACAGGACCGAGUAACCCCCCAUCUGCUCUCUCUGCAGCGCUCCACAGCGAAGACCACAGCUCCCAGUGUCCCAAAUGCCCAGCCCCUGAGCUCCUUGGAGGGCCCACGGUCUUCAUCUUCCCCCCGAAACCCAAGGACGUCCUCUCCAGCACCCGAACACCUGAGGUCACGUGCCUUGUGGUGGACGUGGGUAAGGAAGACCCUGAGAUUGAGUUCAGCUUGUCCGUGGAUGACACAGAGGUACACACGGCUGAGACAAAGCCAAAGGAGGAACAGUUCAACAGCACGUACCGCGUGGUCAGCGUCCUGCCCAUCCAGCACCAGGACUGGCUGACGGGGAAGGAGUUCAAGUGCAAGGUCAACAACAAAGCUCUCCCGGCCCCCAUCGAGAGGACCAUCUCCAAGGCCAAAGGGCAGGCCCGGGAGCCGCAGGUGUACACCCUGGCCCCACACCAGGAAGACCUGGCCAAGGACACUGUGAGCGUAACCUGCCUGAUCAAAGGCUUCUACCCACCUGACAUCAACGCUGAGUGGCAGAGGAACGGGCGGCCGGAGGCAGAGGGCGCCUACGCCACCACGCUGCCCCAGCCGGACAACGCCGGGACCUGCUUCCUCCACAGCAAGCUCUCGGUGGGAAAGAACACGUGGCAGCGGGGAGAAGUCUUCACCUGUGUGGCGAUGCACGAGGCUCUACACAAUCACUCCACCCAGAAAUCCAUCUCCCAGUCUCCGGGUAAAUGA